rnacentral:lncRNA from 10 species
GUGGGAAGUGGGUGACUUGUGGAAGGAUAUACAUAAAGAUACAUAUAUAUGAAUUAUUGAUUUAUAAAGUUAAAUACCUAUUAUAUAUGUUAGAUGUGGGUGUAUGAUAAUGAACAAAAUAGAUGGUCUCUGCCCUUUAGGAGCUUACAUUCUGACUUACUUAGGAAUUGUUCUUGAUAGUCGUCUUUAAAUUUUCUUCAAAAAUUUUCCUUAUAUUCAAAGUAUUGUGGCCAGGACAUAAAUCUUAAUGUUUAAAAAUACAUUACCAAAAUACAUACAAAACCAUGAGAGAAAAUGUAUUUAAUUCUGAACAUUACUAUUUCCUAGCAGCUUUUCUGGAUAUAAUUGUACAAUGCUAAAUUAGUGAGUUUGGAACAAAUCUGUGGAAUGCACUUAUAAUUAUUCCUGAGUUUAGUCCUAUCUUGUAAUCAGUUUUUAUUUAGGUUUUAAUUUCUUUUGAGAAGUGAUGUUUUCUAAUAUUUAAAAGCCUGGGUUGUAUAGAGUUAGACUGUCCAGACAGAUUUCUGGCUUUACCACCUGUGACUAUCUAAUUUAGACUAGUUACUUGCUCUUUGAGUCUUCAUUUACUUUGUUUUUUUAAAAAAUAGGGGAAAUCUUAGUACUGACAUUAUUGGGGACUCUUUUGACAGUUAAAUGACUAUAUUUUAAAAAGAGAGUCAGUAGGAUUUCCUGGUGGAUUUUUUGGCUUGAUCAGCUUAAGAAAAAUGGAGUUGUCAUUAACUGAGGUAGAAAAAAUGCUGGUAGAGCAGAUUAGGGGAAGAUCAGCAGAUCAGCCUUGACAUGUUGAAAUCCAGAGGAAGAUGCUAGAAACAUGAAUUAAAUAUCCCUCUUUUAUAUUCUUGUUCAUGCAGUGUAGGGUCAGCCAUUUAAAAAAUUUCAUUUACAUUUCUAAGUGGUAAGUUCCUGUGUUUAGACAAAAAUAUGUAUCAAGUGCUUAAAUAACUUACAAAAUAAUUUUAAAGAUACACUGCUCAACAUGUAUUACUUUCACACUUUAUGAAUUUCUGUAAUGUAUUUGUCUCUUCACAAGUUGUUCUGUCUCCCAGUUGCCUCCUCUCCCCUCCAAUCUUGUUCUGGUUUAUAUACGUUUAUUUUUAUCUUCCAACAUGGUCUCUUGACUUCUUCCUAAAUUAGGGAUCAGAUUUUGGUACUAGGAAAUUUCCAAUAUGUGCUCUGAGGCAGGCAAGUAGAGGCUCAGCCCCAUGUAUUCCCAUUACUAGAAGCAUACCCAACCUUAGUGGCCUACAAGAAAGAAAACAUUUAAGGAUAAGGAUAAGUAAACCUCUAAGGUGUUAAGGUUGAAUGUACUGUGAUGUGGGCACAAGAAUUGGAGUGCUUGUGCUUGUUUCUUGAGUUUUUUGUUUUUGUUUGGUUUGGUUUGGUUUGGUUGGCAAGAAGAGUGCAGAGGGCACCUUUGCUUGGGAAGAUGGAGACCUCAGCGACAAUCCUAUAUAUAAGGCAUUUGCCUCAACUUCAAGCCAAAUGAUUGAGUAAAUAGGCUCCUGUUUUCAAUUUCGACUUCCUACUCUUUUUAGAGGAGAAGUUCUUAACCCAAGAUUUGUGAGGCAUUUUAUAUGUAAAUUGUGUGUGUGUGUGUGUGUGUGUGUGUGUGUGUGUGUGUGUGUGUGUGUAUUUUUUCCCCCAAAGUCCAUAGGGUGUAUGAGACUCUAUAAGGAGUCCAUGACUCAGAAAGUUAAACACUACUAUAAAGAGUGCUGUGGCCGGGCACAAUGGCUCACACCUGUAAUCCCAGCACUUUGGGAGUCCGAGGCAGGAGGAUUGCUUGAGGUCAGGAGUUUGAGACAGCAUGGGCAACAUAGAUCGUGUCUCUACAAAAAAAUGGGAAGAUUAAAGAGUGCUGAUAUUCUACUUUUAAGAUUGGCUGUGUAAAUAACCUUUAUCUUACCUUUGUGUAUGUAGUUUUAAGUCCAAUAGACAAACCCUCUCAAAGACACUACCAGAGAGUGGAAAGGUACUUUGACAACAAUGUUGAGAGGUAAGAUCUAAAACAGUUGGGGCAGCUUUUCCCAUUGACAAAGUUGUUUGAUGUUUAAUAAAGGGCGUU